AUUGAACGCUGGCGGCAUGCCUAACACAUGCAAGUCGAACGGUAACGCGAGGAGCUUGCUCCUUGGCGACGAGUGGCGGACGGGUGAGUAAUACUUAGGAAUCUGCCCAGUAGUGGGGGACAACCAGGAGAAAUCCUGGCUAAUACCGCAUACGCACUACGGUGGAAAGUGGGGGACCUUCGGGCCUCACGCUAUUGGAUGAGCCUAAGUCGGAUUAGCUUGUAGGUAGGGUAAUGGCCUACCUAGGCGACGAUCCGUAGCUGGUCUGAGAGGACGAUCAGCCACACUGGGACUGAGACACGGCCCAGACUCCUACGGGAGGCAGCAGUGGGGAAUAUUGGACAAUGGGGGCAACCCUGAUCCAGCAAUGCCGCGUGUGUGAAGAAGGCCUGCGGGUUGUAAAGCACUUUCAGUAGAGAAGAAAAGCCUAGGGUUAAUAACCCUGAGUCUUGACGUAACCUACAGAAGAAGCACCGGCUAACUCCGUG
rnacentral:rRNA from 1 species